UGGGAACGUGCCCUUUGGUUCGGAAUAACUCAGGGAAACUUGAGCUAAUACCGAAUAAGCCCUUACGGGGAAAGAUUUAUUGCCGAAGGAGCGGCCCGCGUCCGAUUAGCUAGUUGGUAAGGUAACGGCUCACCAAGGCUACGAUCGGUAGCUGGUCUGAGAGGAUGACCAGCCACACUGGGACUGAGACACGGCCCAGACUCCUACGGGAGGCAG
rnacentral:rRNA from 1 species